rnacentral:tRNA from 1 species
GCGCCAGUAGCUCAGCUGGAUAGAGCGACGGCCUCCGGAGCCGUAGGUCGGGGGUUCGAAUCCCUCCUGGCGUA